AUUAGAAAGUCCUUAGGUAAUUCUGUAAUGCGUAGCAUCAUAGUUCUGUCGAAAAUCUUUGUGGUGUGAGGUGUUGCUGGCUUGUCCUGUAUAAUAUUAACUACGCAAUUACUAUUGGUUGAUUGCAGGAUGCAGUAUAAUAGGAAUGUAAAACACCAUGUACGCCAUUUUGAUUACGUAACAGUCAACGUAUUAAUUUUUCAAAAAGAUUUGGACAUUAUUUUUUAUUAUGACCAAGUGCAAUGUGGUCAAUAGAGUCAGUGUUUGUUGCGCAAUAGUAUUUUCAAUAUAUUUCAGUGCAUGAAAACUCUUAUUUAUUUUAAUUAUAAUAAUCAUUCGCGAAAUUAGAGUCAGUGUUUGUUCCUCUAUAAUAAUUUCAUUAGUCAUAUCAAUAGUCAUAUCAAAUUUUGUAUUUAUUUAUUUUAAUAUUCAUUUUCACAUACUAGAGUCAGUGUAUCAAGAAAGCAAAGCAGUCAUCUAUCAUCAUAAGGGUCAACAAUGGCUUGAUGUCACCGUCAGAUUCGACCAACCACAGAUCCAUCGCUCGGUUUCGCAGAUCCUUGGGGAAUUCGUGGCAAUUCAGACAAUAAUGCAUCAAAUCUAUGUGAUGAGUGUAACAAUCGUUCAACUUGGAAUAUUGUAACGCAGCUGCCAAUCGUUUCACGGCUUUGCCGUAAUCCUGUUCCAACCUCGGCGAUGGAUGCGAUACGGAUGCAACAGCGAACAGAAACCAUAAAAUUUUCAAAAUUUGAGCCGGUAUCUGCUCGGAUUUAGGAAGAUUAACGAUCCUUCCUAUCAGCGAUUUCAAGCAUAUCAUAUCGGUUCUAUAUAAUAAUGGUAUUUUUUAAAAAUAUAAUAGCGUUAAGAAAAAAUUAUUGAUCUUGAUUCGAAUAUAAAUUAUUUCAUACUCUCUGGUUCCAUGAAAGUGAUAAUAAAUUAGAGUCAUCAAGGCAGUCGCGCUAUUCCCGUCAUGAUGAGCUAUGAUGUUCAUCCAUUGUUCAGGAUUUUUUGGAAGGUCCAAUAAUCCUUGAUGCACCAAAUUUUCAAAGCUUAUUUCUCGACUUGUGGAUUGAAUAAUUGGCAUAGAUUUAUCGGCUAAGGUGAUUAUAAUCCGUGAUAAUAGCAUGCAAGUGCUACGUCGUAAGAUUUCUCUAAAAUAAUAAUAAUAAAAAAAAAAAAGAAGAUUGAAUUAAAAUGAAAGGAUUUCUAAAUAAUAUAAAGUUGUAAUAGCAGUGAAAUAAUCUCCGAUAAAGCGUUUUCUCAACAUUAAAAUAGCUCUUUGAUCUGGGUAAUAAAAAAUUCCUAUGCUCGUUAUUUUGAGAAAAUAUAAAAAACCUGGUGUAUAAAUAACAAAUAAACAAAGGGAAAAAUAAAUGAACCAAAGAUGUGAAGCAAAGCGAAAAUGUAGAGGAAUAUUUAUAAAUGGAGCUAAUCAUGCGCUGUGAGAAAAUUCUUCAUUAUUAAAAAGGUAUGAAUUUUCCUAUCCAUAGAGAAUGCAAGAUUUAUAAAAUGAAAUUAAAUUAUUUUCAAACGUUUCAAAGUUUUUUUCUUUUUUUGUAAUCAUACAACGACCCGCUACAACUUCAAAUACAAGUAACAAUCAUGAUGGAAUCACUUGGAGCAAUUUAAUCGCAUCAUCGAACAAAUGGAUUGUCGUCGAAACUUACGGAAGUCUGGUGGUUAACAGCAAGAAGUACUUCAGAUAUCCGUUGGCGGUCAAGUGGUUUGACAAGUUGUCGCGACCGCAGCGACUGCUCAGCUUGUAAAGGUUGUUCAGACAAGUCACAAGAUUCCUAUGGAAUUUGACCCUGUCCGUUUCGUUUGAUUCUGUAUUCUGCAGAAUGGGAAUGAAAAGGAUCUUUAGUGUUCGUUGUAAUUAAAUAUAUGUCGCAUUUUCUAAGAACGUUUCAACUUACUUUAACGUAAGGUAUUAAAGUGUUCAUCGUCACCAUGCGGAUCGUCUUUGUCAGGCUGGAUUUGAACUUCGAGACUUUGUCGAAAAAUUCUCGAUUGUCAUCUUCCGUGAUGCAUAAUCUGGAAAAAAAUAAGCCUUAAUGUUAUAAUUUAACACUUAGAAUUAUUCAUUAGUUAUUAGUUUCAUGAUCAAUGAAAUAGUAUUUCUUAAUAAAUAGUUACAAAUGUAAUUAAAAUGCAAAAAAAAUUAUUUUCUUAUAUUCUUUUAACUAUUUUUUAGUUAUUAUAAGUCUUGACAAAUAUUUGAAUUUUAUAUUGUUAUAGAAAUAUUUGAUGUUUGUAAAAAAAAAAUAAGGAAUGUCUAAUGAUUAUUCAAAUGUUUCUAUCAUACAGAAAUUUGCCAAAAUUUAUCCAGAAAUGUUAUUGGAAUUAAAACAAAGUAUGAUUAUUAUUUGUGAUUCUAAUUGAGAUGAACUAAAUAUCUAAAUAUCUAAUUAUAUUUAAUUAGAUAAUUAUAUAUAACUAAAUAAAUAACUAAGUAUCUAAGUAAUUAAAUUGUGUAAGAGAACAUUUGAAUAAUGAAUUAAUAUCUCAUACUUAUAAAUUAUCGAAAUUGAAUAAAAUACACGUUAAUUCAUGAUUA